rnacentral:rRNA from 1 species
CCUACGGGUGGCAGCAGUGAGGAAUAUUGGUCAAUGGACGCAAGUCUGAACCAGCCAUGCCGCGUGAAGGAAGACUGCUCUAUGAGUUGUAAACUGCUUUUGUAAAGGGUUAAACCCAGAUACGCGUAUCUUUCUGCAAGUAUCGUACGAAUAAGGAUCGGCUAACUCCGUGCCAGCAGCCGCGGUAAUACGGAGGAUUCGAGCGUUAUCCGGAUUUAUUGGGUUUAAAGGGUGCGUAGGCGGGCGGAUAAGUUAGAUGUGAAAGCCUGAGGCUCAACCGUAGAAUUGCAUUUGAUACUGGCCGUCUAGAGUGUAGUUGCGGUAGGCGGAAUGCAUGGUGUAGCGGUGAAAUGCUUAGAGAUCAUACAGAACACCGAUUGCGAAGGCAGCUUACCAAGCUAUUUCUGACAUUGAGGCACGAAAGUGUGGGGAGCAAACAGGAUUAGAUACCCCUGUAGUC